rnacentral:rRNA from 1 species
UACAGAGGGUGCAAGCGUUGUUCGGAAUUAUUGGGCGUAAAGGGCGCGUAGGCGGUGCGGUAAGUCUGUAGUGAAAUCUCUGGGGCUCAACUCAGAGUCUGCUAUAGAAACUGCCGUGCUUGAGUGUGGGAGAGGUGAGUGGAAUUCCCCGGUGUAGCGGUGAAAUGCGUAGAUAUUGGGGAAGAACACCGGUGGCGAAGGGCGGCGACCUGGUCCCAUUACUGACGCUGAGGCGCGACAGCGU